UUGGUGAGGUAAUGGCCCACCAAGACUAUUACAGGUACGGGCUCUGAGAGGAGUAGCCCGGAGAUGGGUACUGAGACACGGACCCAGGCCCUAUGGGGCGCAGCAGGCGAGAAAACUUUGCAAUGUGCGAAAGCACGACAAGGUUAAUCCGAGUGAUUUCUGCUAAAGAGAUCUUUUGUUAGUCCUAGAAACACUAACGAAUAAGGGGUGGGCAAGUUCUGGUGUCAGCCGCCGCGGUAAAACCAGCACCUCAAGUGGUCAGGAUGAUUAUUGGGCCUAAAGCAUCCGUAGCCGGCUCUGUAAGUUUUCGGUUAAAUCUGUACGCUCAACGUACAGGCUGCCGGGAAUACUGCAGAACUAGGGAGUGGGAGAGGUAGACGGUACUCGGUAGGAAGUGGUAAAAUGCUUUGAUCUAUCGAUGACCACCUGUGGCGAAGGCGGUCUACCAGAACACGUCCGACGGUGAGGGAUGAAAGCUGGGGGAGCAAACCGGAUUAGAUACCCGGGUAGUCCCAGCUGUAAACUAUGCAAACUCAGUGAUGCAUUGGCUUGUGGCCAAUGCAGUGCUGCAGGGAAGCCGUUAAGUUUGCCGCCUGGGAAGUACGUACGCAAGUAUGAAACUUAAAGGAAUUGGCGGGGGAGCACCACAAGGGGUGAAGCCUGCGGUUCAAUUGGAUUCAACGCCGGA
rnacentral:rRNA from 1 species